AACGAACGCUGGCGGCAUGCCUAACGCAUGCAAGUCGAACGAGAUCUUCGGGUCUAGUGGCGCACGGGUGCGUAACGCGUGGGAAUCUGCCCUUUGGUUCGGAAUAACAGUUGGAAACGACUGCUAAUACCGGAUGAUGACGAAAGUCCAAAGAUUUAUCGCCAGAGGAUGAGCCCGCGUAGGAUUAGCCAGUUGGUGUGGUAAAGGCGCACCAAGGCGACGAUCCUUAGCUGGUCUGAGAGGAUGAUCAGCCACACUGGGACUGAGACACGGCCCAGACUCCUACGGGAGGCAGCAGUGGGGAAUAUUGGACAAUGGGCGAAAGCCUGAUCCAGCAAUGCCGCGUGAGUGAUGAGGGCCUUAGGGUUGUAAAGCUCUUUUACCCGGGAUGAUAAUGACAGUACCGGGAGAAUAAGCUCCGGCUAACUCCGUGCCAGCCGCCGCAGUAA
rnacentral:rRNA from 1 species